rnacentral:sRNA from 1 species
GUUUUGCGUUAGGGAUUGAAACGACAUCCUUUUUUUGCCUUUUACACCAUGCAGAUGGCAAAAAAAAGAUAAAGUGUAAAGCCCGCCCGAAC